rnacentral:rRNA from 1 species
CGGGUGAGUAAUGCGUGACCAACCUCGCCCCAUGCUCCAGAAUAGCUCUUGGAAACGGGUGGUAAUGCUGGAUGCUCCAACUUGACGCAUGUCUUGUUGGGAAAGUGUUUAGUGGCAUGGGAUGGGGUCGCGUCCUAUCAGCUUGUAGGCGGGGUAAUGGCCCACCUAGGCUUCGACGGGUAGCCGGCCUGAGAGGGCGGACGGCCACAUUGGGACUGAGAUACGGCCCAGACUCCUACGGGAGGCAGCAGC